rnacentral:lncRNA from 1 species
CUGGUUGUCUUCCUGCCUGCCCUGUGUCAUAAAAAAUGGGGGGCCCUUACUGCUUUAUCAAGGGGAAGUCAAGACUGGGACUUCUAGUCCACAAGAAGAGAGGCACCACUGCUGCCUUCGCACAGGUUAACUUGGAAGACAAAGGAGCUUUGGCUAAGCUGGUGGAAACUAUCAGGACCAAUUACAGCGACAGAUACGAUGAGAUCUGCUGUCACUGGGGAGGUAAUGUCCUGGGUCCCAAGUCUGUGGCUCGCAUCACCAAGCUAAAAAAGGCGAAGGCUAAAGAACUUGCGACUAAACUGGGUUAA